AUUGAACGCUGGCGGCAUGCCUUACACAUGCAAGUCGAACGGCAGUACGGGUGCUUGCCCCUGGUGGCGAGUGGCGAACGGGUGAGUAAUACAUCGGAACAUGUCCUGUAGUGGGGGAUAGCCCGGCGAAAGCCGGAUUAAUACCGCAUACGAUCUACGGAUGAAAGCGGGGGACCUUCGGGCCUCGCGCUAUAGGGUUGGCCGAUGGCUGAUUAGCUAGUUGGUGGGGUAAAGGCCUACCAAGGCGACGAUCAGUAGCUGGUCUGAGAGGACGACCAGCCACACUGGGACUGAGACACGGCCCAGACUCCUACGGGAGGCAGCAGUGGGGAAUUUUGGACAAUGGGCGAAAGCCUGAUCCAGCAAUGCCGCGUGUGUGAAGAAGGCCUUCGGGUUGUAAAGCACUUUUGUCCGGAAAGAAAUCCUUGGCCCUAAUACGGUCGGGGGAUGACGGUACCGGAAGAAUAAGCACCGGCUAACUACGUG
rnacentral:rRNA from 1 species